rnacentral:tRNA from 1 species
CAUUAGAUGGCCGAAAGUAAGCAAUGGAAUUUUAAUCCAUAAAAUUGUAGAUUAACGCCUACCUCUAAUG